rnacentral:rRNA from 1 species
GGUAACUGUGGUCCGCAAGCCGCGGUAAGACGGAGGGGGCAAGCGUUAAUCGGAAUUACUGGGCGGAAAGCGCGCGUAGAUGGUUGGUGAAGUUGAAUGUGAAAGCCCCGGGCUCAACCUGGGAACUGCAUCCAAAACUGGCAAGCUAUAGUAUGGUAGAGGGUAGUGGAAUUUCCUGUGUAGCGGUGAAAUGCGUAGAUAUAGGAAGGAACACCAGUGGCGAAGGCGACUACCUGGACUGAUACUGACACUGAGGUGCGAAAGCGUGGGGAGCAAACAGGAUUAGAUACCCGAGUAGUC